rnacentral:misc_RNA from 1 species
UUGUGGAGGAGGACGCCGAAGGUGGGGCUAAUGACUGGGGUGAAGUCGUAACAAGGUAGCCGUACCGGAAGGUGCGGCUGGAUCACCUCCUAACAGGGAGACAACAAAAUGUUUAAUAUUAUUUUGUCACCUUAGGUCGAUCGGUAUCUCACGUUUUUAAUUUAUUAAGAAUUUCAUUUCCUAAGUUUUUUCUAGGUCACACCCAUUAUUUUUCCUGGGCCAUUAGCUCAGGUGGUUAGAGCGCACCCCUGAUAAGGGUGAGGUCCCUGGUUCAAGUCCAGGAUGGCCCAUAUCUCUAUGUUGGGGGUAUAGCUCAGUUGGUAGAGCGCCUGCUUUGCAAGCAGGAUGUCAGCGGUUCGAGUCCGCUUACCUCCACUGAUUACCACCUCUUCCAUAUUUAAUGAGAAGGAAAUGUUUUGAGUAGUGAUCAAAUUCUGAACGAAGCUAGCUUCCUAAUGAAAUCAUUAAGAUGCUGGACUCAUUGAAUUAAUUUCAUUGUUUUCAGAGAACCUUGACAACUGCAUAGAUUAUUUUUAAAGACAAUAAGCAUCUUUAAUGAUGCAGAUUUAUUAUUUGUGCGAAUGCAUUAAUAACAAUUCUAUUAAGCUGAUGCUUCAAUUUUGAAGUUAUUGGUCAAGCUACAA